rnacentral:rRNA from 1 species
AGACCCGAAACCCGGUGAUCUAGCCAUGGGCAGGUUGAAGGUUGGGUAACACUAACUGGAGGACCGAACCGACUAAUGUUGAAAAAUUAGCGGAUGACCUGUGGCUGGGGGUGAAAGGCCAAUCAAACCGGGAGAUAGCUGGUUCUCCCCGAAAGCUAUUUAGGUAGCGCCUCGUGAAUUCAUCUCCGGGGGUAGAGCACUGUUUCGGCUAGGGGGCCAUCCCGGCUUACCAACCCGAUGCAAACUGCGAAUACCGGAGAAUGUUAUCACGGGAGACACACGGCGGGUGCUAACGUCCGUCGUGAAGAGGGAAACAACCCAGACCGCCAGCUAAGGUCCCAAAGUCAUGGUUAAGUGGGAAACGAUGUGGGAAGGCCCAGACAGCCAGGAUGUUGGCUUAGAAGCAGCCAUCAUUUAAAGAAAGCGUAAUAGCUCACUGGUCGAGUCGGCCUGCGCGGAAGAUGUAACGGGGCUAAACCAUGCACCGAAGCUGCGGCAGCGAACGUAUCACCCAAGACAACUUUACGGAGUUGACGAUUGACGGAGCGAAGCGACGUCAAAGCGUUCAUUAAAGUCGAGUUGGCUUAGGGAUACGUUCGUUGGGUAGGGGAGCGUUCUGUAAGCCUGUGAAGGUGUGUCGUGAGGCAUGCUGGAGGUAUCAGAAGUGCGAAUGCUGACAUAAGUAACGAUAAAGCGGGUGAAAAGCCCGCUCGCCGGAAGACCAAGGGUUCCUGUCCAACGUUAAUCGGGGCAGGGUGAGUCGACCCCUAAGGCGAGGCCGAAAGGCGUAGUCGAUGGGAAACGGGUUAAUAUUCCCGUACUUGGUGUUACUGCGAAGGGGGGACGGAGAAGGCUAUGUUGGCCGGGCGACGGUUGUCCCGGUUUAAGGGUGUAGGUGUGUGUUCCAGGUAAAUCCGGUUCACUUUAACAC